rfam:Camelus ferus unplaced genomic scaffold scaffold159, whole genome shotgun sequence.
GAGGGUAUAGCUCAGUGGUAAAGCACUUGCUUAUUAGCAUGCACAAAGUCCUGGGUUCAAUCCCCAGUACCUCUA